UCUGUGACACGAACAGCCAGCCCCAUGGAGAGGCCCACAGAGUGAGGAACUGAGGCCUCUUGCCAACAGCCCCGUGAGUGAGCUUAGAGGCAGAUGAUCCAACCCAAGUCAAUUCCGCAGAGACUGACAAUCCAGCCAAAAGUUUGACUGAAACCUCAUGAGAGACCCUGGGCCAGAACCAGUCAGCUAAGCCACUCUUGGAUUGCAGACCUUCAAAAACUAUGAGGCUUUGCAACACAGAUUAGAAAGCGGGGGAGGGGGAGCCUCAGGAGUCCCUUGACAGGCACAGAAUAGGAAAUGGAUGGCGCGUCAGAAAUGGAUGCAGGUCAGGGACAGACCAUCACUCAUGCCACCUUGCUGUGUUUAUGAAACAGAGUGCUAGAAGUUAAAUUUGGGGGAUGCACAAAGAGGUGCCCAAUCAGGUGAACUCAGAGUUGGAAUUGCUAUUUGUGAGACAGUUACGUCAAAGGAAGAAAAGAAGGAGAGAAUAAAGGUGACUAUCAGGAGAAUUUUCCAGCCAGAAGAAAGACACUUAGGCACAGGCAUUUCAUGGCCUGGAAAAGGAAGAGCACAGAGACAAGUGUGGCUCCAGUUAAAGGACCAGUG